rnacentral:rRNA from 1 species
UACAGAGGUCUCAAGCGUUGUUCGGAUUCAUUGGGCGUAAAGGGUGCGUAGGUGGCGCCGUAAGUCGGGUGUGAAAUUUCGGAGCUUAACUCCGAAACUGCAUUCGAUACUGCGGUGCUUGAGGACUGGAGAGGAGACUGGAAUUCAUGGUGUAGCAGUGAAAUGCGUAGAGAUCAUGAGGAAGACCAGUGGCGAAGACGGGUCUCUGGACAGUUCCUGACACUGAGGCACGAAGGCCAGGGGAGCAAACGGG